AGAACAAUGGAAUCAGAUCUGGGAGAAUAGAGAAGCUGUUGCUCUACAGAUAUUGCUGAAAUACAGCUUUGCACAGCCCUAGACAGUAUGAUCAAUGUUACAGAAAAAGAUGGGAGAAUCUGGUGUUGAAAUUUGCUUGAGCACUACUGAUUUCCUAGUGGGAGAAAAUGAAGACAACUAUGCAACCUUUUAAACAUUACUUGCUAUCUGGAAGUGGGAAAAGUUUCAAAGUGCAGAGGAAAUGCCAAUUUCAGUCUUCAAGGUAAUGAUUUCAUAGCACACUGGAGGUAAUUUGCUGUUGCUGCUGCUGCUGCCGCUGCCUCCACCGCCACUGCUGCUGCUGCUACUGCUGCUGCUGCUGCUACUACUGUUUACCUUCUUCGA